GGUAUUCUCAUGGCUGCCUCUUUAAUUUGCCUAGUCACUCACAGGGGGCAGUGUUUGAGCUGCAUAAGAGUGGGUGGCGAUGUUCCCACUGUCGCAAAUGGUUAAUAACAAGAAAAACAAAAGGUUCGAUCCAUCAAAUUACUCAACAAGAAGGUGGAAUGACAAUCGGUUCCCAUGCUGAGAGCAAGGAUUGUGCCCAAUACAGCAUUACAGCAAAUUGACAGGACCUUCUGUCCAACGGGGGUGGGGGAUUGAAUCCUUGCGGAAGAAGGGUUGGACUUCAGCUUACUAGGACCCCCUAGGACUGAUGGAAUGUGCUGGUAAUUUUGGUGGGGGAGUUCGGGAGAUGGAGCACAAUGUAAUUCAAGACAAAAGAGUCUAUUCUGAUUACUGCUCCAUUGUGUGGCAGAGCAAAACAUUUCAAUGUGGUUGAGACUGAAUUUGAAUCAAGGAAAUACAAGUUGCAGAUUUUUUGAAGACGGCUGGCCCAGGGGAAUUGUUCAUCUCCUUGGAAAAUUGAAAAACAAAUGAAAACUUGACGAUGCUUUGGAUCCUAGUUGUUAAAAAAAAAAUCCUUCUUUCUAUUUAAAAACAAGAGGUGUUUUUUUGGUACUGAUUUUUACGUAACUUCUACUACCAAGAAAUAAACAGCAUUGAUUUG